rnacentral:rRNA from 1 species
UGGGGAAUUUUGGACAAUGGGGGAAACCCUGAUCCAGCCAUCCCGCGUGUGCGAUGAAGGCCUUCGGGUUGUAAAGCACUUUUGGCAGGAAAGAAACGUCAUGGGUUAAUACCCCGUGAAACUGACGGUACCUGCAGAAUAAGCACCGGCUAACUACGUGCCAGCAGCCGCGGUAAUACGUAGGGUGCAAGCGUUAAUCGGAAUUACUGGGCGUAAAGCGUGCGCAGGCGGUUCGGAAAGAAAGAUGUGAAAUCCCAGAGCUCAACUUUGGAACUGCAUUUUUAACUACCGGGCUAGAGUGUGUCAGAGGGAGGUGGAAUUCCGCGUGUAGCAGUGAAAUGCGUAGAUAUGCGGAGGAACACCGAUGGCGAAGGCAGCCUCCUGGGAUAACACUGAGGCUCAUGCACGAAAGCGUGGGGAGCAAACAGG